UGUAGGAUAGGUGGGAGGCUUUGAAGUGUGGACGCCAGUCUGCAUGGAGCCGACCUUGAAAUACCACCCUUUAAUGUUUGAUGUUCUAACGUUGACCCGUAAUCCGGGUUGCGGACAGUGUCUGGUGGGUAGUUUGACUGGGGCGGUCUCCUCCUAAAGAGUAACGGAGGAGCACGAAGGUUGGCUAAUCCUGGUCGGACAUCAGGAGGUUAGUGCAAUGGCAUAAGCCAGCUUGACUGCGAGCGUGACGGCGCGAGCAGGUGCGAAAGCAGGUCAUAGUGAUCCGGUGGUUCUGAAUGGAAGGGCCAUCGCUCAACGGAUAAAAGGUACUCCGGGGAUAACAGGCUGAUACCGCCCAAGAGUUCAUAUCGACGGCGGUGUUUGGCACCUCGAUGUCGGCUCAUCACAUCCUGGGGCUGAAGUAGGUCCCAAGGGUAUGGCUGUUCGCCAUUUAAAGUGGUACGCGAGCUGGGUUUAGAACGUCGUGAGACAGUUCGGUCCCUAUCUGCC
rnacentral:rRNA from 1 species